CCAACAGGGAUUGCCUCAGUAACGGCGAGUGAAGCGGCAACAGCUCAAAUUUGAAAUCUGGCCCUCGGGUCCGAGUUGUAAUUUGCAGAGGAUGCUUCGGGCGCGGUGCCUUCCAAGUCCCCUGGAACGGGGCGCCACAGAGGGUGAGAGCCCCGUAUGGUCGGCCGCCAAGCCUGUGUGAAGCUCCUUCGACGAGUCGAGUAGUUUGGGAAUGCUGCUCUAAAUGGGAGGUAGACCCCUUCUAAAGCUAAAUACCGGCCAGAGACCGAUAGCGCACAAGUAGAGUGAUCGAAAGAUGAAAAGCACUUUGAAAAGAGGGUUAAACAGUACGUGAAAUUGUUGAAAGGGAAGCGCUUGUGACCAGACGUGCGCCGGGCGCUCAGCGGGCGUUCUCGCCCGUGUAUUCGCCCCGGCGCAGGCCAGCGUCGGUUUGGGCGGGGGGACAAAGGCACCAGGAACGUGGCUCCCUCGGGAGUGUUAUAGCCUGGAGCGCCAUGCCCCCGCCCGGACCGAGGUUCGCGCUCCGCAAGGACGCUGGCGUAAUGGUCCCCAGCGGCCCGUCUUGAAACACGGACCAAGGAGUCGAGGUUUUGCGCGAGUGUUUGGGUGUCAAACCCGCACGCGUAAUGAAAGUGAACGCUGGUGGGAGCUUAGGCGCACCACCGACCGAUCCUGAUGUUCUCGGAUGGAUUUGAGUAGGAGCGUAGGGCCUCGGACCCGAAAGAUGGUGAACUAUACUUGGAUAGGGUGAAGCCAGAGGAAACUCUGGUGGAGGCUCGCAGCGGUUCUGACGUGCAAAUCGAUCGUCAAAUCUGAGUAUGGGGGCGAAAGACUAAUCGAACCAU
rnacentral:rRNA from 1 species